rnacentral:tRNA from 1 species
AGCAGAGUGGCGCAGCGGAAGCGUGCUGGGCCCAUAACCCAGAGGUCGUUGGAUCGAGACCUUCCUCUGCUA